UACGUAGGGGGCAAGCGUUGUCCGGAAUUAUUGGGCGUAAAGCGCGCGUAGGCGGCUACCUAAGUCGGAUGUGAAAGCCCCUGGCUCAACUGGGGAAGUGCACCCGAAACUGAGUAGCUAGAGUACGAAAGAGGGUCGCGGAAUUCCCGGUGUAGAGGUGAAAUUCGUAGAUAUCGGGAGGAACACCGGUGGCGAAGGCGGCGACCUGGGUCGAUACUGACGCUGAGGCGCGAAAGCCAGGGGAGCAAACAGG
rnacentral:rRNA from 1 species